ensembl:lncRNA
GUGACUAUGAUGUCUGUUGUAAAGGAACUCCAGCCCAUGCCCUUAGUUAAUUGUUCCCACAUUUUUAUAAACUGAGCUUUCUUCACCCCAACACCCCGGUAACGGUGCCGUCGCUGCUCGGCUGCGAGCGCUCCCCCGGUCGUCUUUCAAGAUGUCUCAGGAAACAUCCCAUCGUCGUUGUCCCCACCACCCGACUCUUCUGAGGUUCCCCCGCACAUUCUUGUGCCGCAUCUGGCUCCCACCGCGGCUUCUGUAGAGCAGCAGUUGUGCAAAUAUGUAUUAAAAGAAAAAGAGAAGAAUGGGGAUUCUCAAUCCUUCCCACCUCUUCCCCCUCUUCCGGUAGGGCAGGUGGUCGAGCCUUGGUGGUUAUGGCUCAGGAUAUGAUUUGCUGCUGGAGUCAGGUACCAGAUACUUUUUUUUUUGGUUCGUUCCUUCGUUUCUACCCUUCGCCAACGUUGGCCCGCUUGGCGUCCUUGUGACCCAAGGCCAAUGCGUAUUUAGAUCUGUGCUGAUUAAUGCUAUGGUCAGGAUAAAGAACGCCCUGUCGGCCCCUGUGUCGACGACCAUCACAUCCAUACCUCGCAUCCACCCCCCCAUCGCAAGAAAGCAGAACCGGGAUGGCCUGGAAAGGAAAACACCGAGACGCACUACUUUAUGGCUGGAUAUUGCUGGCUGCUAGGCAUGUUAGCCGGAACACGUGAGCGGCUCAUCGCUGCGCUCCCCUCACCUCCCCCCCUUCCCCCCCCUCUGACGUUGAAAACCUUGGAGAUAUUCAGGGAUCUGACGCUCAAGUUUCCUCCACUGUAUGCAAUCAAAGGUUGGAGCAAACUAAAUCCUACCAACUUUCACGACACUAUCGUUUUUUUGUCUUCUUUCUCUCAUUUGUAUUUUUUUCUUUGGGUUUUCUGCGAACUCGUUGACAUGUAGACAUCCUCUGGUUGUACAGAGCAUCAGCUUCAUGGAUACCUGGACAUGAAUCAGCAAACGUGCCGGGUUCAGUUAUGGCCACCGCAGCACAGAGAAAUCCUCAUUGCUUAAUGUGUGUACGUAUGUUUCUUUGGUUUCUUUUGCUCAUUCAAGAGAUUCACUACAAGUGGCACCCCACGACACAAGAUUUGCUGAAUCUCACAGGGAGCUAGAUUAGCAUUUCUGAACUCCCUGUGAUCAGAACUGCUGGGUGAAAUUGUGGGUGAAAAGCCAACAAGUUUUGUAAGAUCCAGGAAAGAGUUGUAUUCUGAUUUUUUCUUUUUUUUUUUUUUGCAACUGCUGCCAUUGUCAUAUUACUCAUGAUAAUAUUGUAUUAUUCCUAGCACGGAUGCAAAAGGUUGACAGUCUGAAGAAAAGGAAAAGUGUUCCGUGUUUCACCUCACGACUCACACAAACUGCUGCCACUCCCCAAACCUUCCUCACCCCCCUUUUCCGCCCAAUCAGUUCUGUGUAGACGCAAAAUCCCACACGGUUUUUCAUGUGACCUGGGAGUGUGACAUGCUUUUUGUGUCACGGCCUUCACAGUACAACAGUUCAACAAAAAGCCAAACCCCGCUCCCUCUUUCUCUCUCCUGACAAUAUUAGUAAAUGACUCGAUGGACAAUGCACAGGGGAGCCGUGUGGAAAAGGGGUUUCCAUAUUGUUGGCGGUGAUGUUUUGUUGCUCUCCAGAAUGGACUCAUUACUUACCUCAUCUAUCCCUACUGGUGCUCACCAUGCCCGUGGCAUCAUAAGCAGAUGACGGUGCCACAUCAGAAAACAACUUGCGACAUCUGACCACCCGUUCUUAUUUCAUUUUUUUCCUGACACCGCCCUCCACACACCCCCCUCUCACACAACACUUUUUUUGAGACACUAAUUAGGACUUCGCUAAACACAGGGAGUUUAUUCAAUCGUCUAUACAUGGCCAUGCCCAUUGUUAGGAAACAUGCCAUCUUGUAUCUUAUUUUUCUUCAUUUUGUUGCAAGUAUUAAACAAACUUGUUUCAGGGCUUGGUUGGAAGUGAUUGUUGAAUAUUGUACAGAAGAAAAUGUAUGCUACCCCCCCAACUCCCUUUCUCCCAAAAUAAAGUAUAGUGACUG